rnacentral:lncRNA from 1 species
CACCCAGUCGCUGCCUCUUCUGUGGCUCCCUUGAGACAGAGCUGUGUAGGGAACUUGGCAGGUGCCUAAGUUCCUUACAAACACCUAUUUCUCAUGUCACAGGGUCCGGCCCCUGCAGGCAUCUGAGUGCUCCAGCUGGGCCCAGAGUGUGCCCAAGUGUUGCAUCACCAACUCCUUCUCUGGGCCUUCAAACUUCAAAUAGAAAUUCCUGGAGCAGAGCAGCAAAGGCCUAAGCGUUUCUCAUGCCCACCUGUCUGUGUGCUGAAGGUCUGCACUAACCAGAGGAGAGUUAAAAGGAAUGGGGAGACACAGACAUCCACACAAGUCCCCAAAAAGAAUGGUCACACUAUACUGAGAGAAGAAGUGAAGCAAGCCCAGGCUUUGCCACCAGCACAAAAUCAACAACAAAGACGGAGGCUUGAAGUAGGACCAAACUAUGUGGAAUCCAAGAAGGAGGCUCUGUGGAAGACCGUGGGCCAGAGCAUCAGCCAGAAUCAGACAGAACACGAGAAGAUUUCCUGACCCACAUGUCAGCUGGCUGCAGACUGAUGUGUUGAGGACUGCAGUGGAGCCUACCCUGAGAAGCAAUGGUGGUGACUUGGCCCUGAGAGGUCCUUGUGUGGGGAAUAGAAAGCCUGGAAUGAGAGAGGGCUGUGUGUGGUGA